GCAGCCACGCCGUUUGUGGCAUGCAGUCUCACAUUGUGGGCGGAUUAAGUAAGAAGGAAGAGAGCGAUG
rnacentral:sRNA from 1 species